UAUUUAGUGUAAGUUUGUCCUAUUAUAACAU
rnacentral:piRNA from 1 species